GACGAACGCUGGCGGCGUGCUUAACACAUGCAAGUCGAACGGAAAGGCCCUGCUUUUGUGGGGUGCUCGAGUGGCGAACGGGUGAGUAACACGUGAGUAACCUGCCCUUGACUUUGGGAUAACUUCAGGAAACUGGGGCUAAUACCGGAUAGGAGCUCCUGCUGCAUGGUGGGGGUUGGAAAGUUUCGGCGGUUGGGGAUGGACUCGCGGCUUAUCAGCUUGUUGGUGGGGUAGUGGCUUACCAAGGCUUUGACGGGUAGCCGGCCUGAGAGGGUGACCGGCCACAUUGGGACUGAGGUACGGCCCAGACUCCUACGGGAGGCAGCAGUGGGGAAUAUUGCACAAUGGGCGGAAGCCUGAUGCAGCAACGCCGCGUGCGGGAUGACGGCCGUCGGGUUGUAAACCGCUUUCGCCUGUGACGAAGCGUGGGUGACGGUAAUGGGUAAAGAAGCACCGGCUAACUACGUG
rnacentral:rRNA from 1 species